GAUGAACGCUGGCGGCGUGCCUAAUACAUGCAAGUCGAACGAAACUUCUUUAUCACCGAGUGCUUGCACUCACCGAUAAAGAGUUGAGUGGCGAACGGGUGCGUAACACGUGGGCAGCCUGCCCAAAAGAGGGGGAUAACACUUGGAAACAGGUGCUAAUACCGCAUAACCAUAGUUACCGCAUGGUAACUAUGUAAAAGGUGGCUAUACUACCGCUUUUGGAUGGGCCCGCGGCGCAUUAGCUAGUUGGUAGGGUAAAGGCUUACCAAGGCAAUGAUGCGUAGCCGAAGUGAGAGGUUGAUCGGCCACAUUGGGACUGAGACACGGCCCAAACUCCUACGGGAGGCAGCAGUAGGGAAUCUUCCACAAUGGGCGAAAGCCUGAUGGAGCAACGCCGCGUGGGUGAAGAAGGUCUUCGGAUCGUAAAACCCUGUUGUUAGAGAAGAAAGUGCGUGAGAGUAACUGUUCACGUUUCGACGGUAUCGAACCAGAAAGCCACGGCUAACUACGUG
rnacentral:rRNA from 1 species